GACGAACGCUGGCGGCGUGCUUAACACAUGCAAGUCGAACGGUAAGGCCCUUUCGGGGGUACACGAGUGGCGAACGGGUGAGUAACACGUGGGUGAUCUGCCCUGCACUUUGGGAUAAGCCUGGGAAACUGGGUCUAAUACCGGAUAGGACUACGCGAUGCAUGUCGUGUGGUGGAAAGCUUUUGCGGUGUGGGAUGGGCCCGCGGCCUAUCAGCUUGUUGGUGGGGUGAUGGCCUACCAAGGCGACGACGGGUAGCCGGCCUGAGAGGGUGUCCGGCCACACUGGGACUGAGAUACGGCCCAGUCUCCGACGGGAGGCAGCAGUGGAGAAUAUUGCACAAUGGGCGCAAGCCUGAUGCAGCGACGCCGCGUGGGGGAUGACGGCCUUCGGGUUGUAAACCCCUUUCAGCACAGACGAAGCGUAAGUGACGGUAGGUGCAGAAGAAGCACCGGCCAACUACGUG
rnacentral:rRNA from 1 species